rnacentral:other from 1 species
AGUACUCUGGGGUGUGCGUUAUUACGGAUAAAAUUCAACCACUGGCAUAUUAUAGGGAGCACGUGUUUUCUGAGAGAUGACAAGCCGGCCAGACCGGACGCCAGAACUCGGGAACAGUACACCCACUUAGGUGGAGUGUGGUGCUGAAUUUCAUCCUUGACGGCACUCUGGAGACAU